GGAAAAAGAAGAGUGGCGAACGGGUGAGUAACACGUGGGUAACCUGCCCAUCAGAAGGGGAUAACACUUGGAAACAGGUGCUAAUACCGUAUAACAAUCAAAACCGCAUGGUUUUGAUUUGAAAGGCGCUUUCGGGUGUCGCUGAUGGAUGGACCCGCGGUGCAUUAGCUAGUUGGUGAGGUAACGGCUCACCAAGGCCACGAUGCAUAGCCGACCUGAGAGGGUGAUCGGCCACAUUGGGACUGAGACACGGCCCAAACUCCUACGGGAGGCAGCAGUAGGGAAUCUUCGGCAAUGGACGAAAGUCUGACCGAGCAACGCCGCGUGAGUGAAGAAGGUUUUCGGAUCGUAAAACUCUGUUGUUAGAGAAGAACAAGGAUGAGAGUAACUGUUCAUCCCUUGACGGUAUCUAACCAGAAAGCCACGGCUAACUACGUGCCAGCAGCCGCGGUAAUACGUAGGUGGCAAGCGUUGUCCGGAUUUAUUGGGCGUAAAGCGAGCGCAGGCGGUUUCUUAAGUCUGAUGUGAAAGCCCCCGGCUCAACCGGGGAGGGUCAUUGGAAACUGGGAGACUUGAGUGCAGAAGAGGAGAGUGGAAUUCCAUGUGUAGCGGUGAAAUGCGUAGAUAUAUGGAGGAACACCAGUGGCGAAGGCGGCUCUCUGGUCUGUAACUGACGCUGAGGCUCGAAAGCGUGGGGAGCAAACAGGAUUAGAUACCCUGGUAGUCCACGCCGUAAACGAUGAGUGCUAAGUGUUGGAGGGUUUCCGCCCUUCAGUGCUGCAGCUAACGCAUUAAGCACUCCGCCUGGGGAGUACGACCGCAAGGUUGAAACUCAAAGGAAUUGACGGGGGCCCGCACAAGCGGUGGAGCAUGUGGUUUAAUUCGAAGCAACGCGAAGAACCUUACCAGGUCUUGACAUCCUUUGACCACUCUAGAGAUAGAGCUUCCCCUUCGGGGGCAAAGUGACAGGUGGUGCAUGGUUGUCGUCAGCUCGUGUCGUGAGAUGUUGGGUUAAGUCCCGCAACGAGCGCAACCCUUAUUGUUAGUUGCCAUCAUUCAGUUG
rnacentral:rRNA from 1 species